AUGACGAUCGUCGUCGCGCUUAUCUAUUUCCUAACCUCGAGCGUCCUCAAUGUCCAGUCCUACAUCCUCGGCCGCAGAGUCUCCGAGGACUCAUGUCGCAUAUCUUUGAGCCGGGACCUGGCCACAAUCCCGUCGCUGAUGAUCAACGAGAGCUCGGGGACUCUCCUCUACCCGACAGAAGAUGACGUCAUCGUCCUGGCGCCCAACGCCGAGUUCCUCCUGUAUUGCCCGUCCGGCUUCGCCGAGCGCCGGAUCCAGCCGAGGGGCAUCAGGGUCGUCUGCAAGCGGGACAACUCGGUCGUAUACGGCAACGCCACCUACCGGAUCAACCAACUCGGCUGCACUAAGCACCCCGAUUCCACCCUCCGCCGCACCGGAGCCACCUGCUCGCAAGGGAACUACACGCUCCUUUACGUAGGCUACGAGUAUGAGUCUGAAGAGAGUCCCAGCGUCGGCGGUGAAGGAGAUGAUGGAGGAAACGGCGUGGGUCUCGACAACGACGUCGAUGAGGACGAGGAGGAGACGGAAACGGGUCGAGACGAAACCGGAAACGGUAUCGAAGCGGAGACGGAAGUGAGUCGGGAUGAAACCGGAAAUGAGAUCCGUGAAGUUGAAGCGGAGACAGAAGUGAGUGUGAAUGAAAGUGGAGACAGCGUUCGUGUAGUCGAAUCAGGAAUGGAAAUAGACGCAGAUGAAACCGGAAAUGGGGGUCGUGCGGUCGAAGCGGAGACAGAAGUGAGUGUGGAUGAAAGUGGAAGUGGCAUUCGAGGAGGCGAAUCGGGUAAGGAAACGGACGCUGAUGAAACCGGAAAUGGGGUCCUUGCUGUCGAAGCGGAGACAGAAGUAAGUGUGGAUGAAAGUGGACGUGGCGUUCAAGGAGUCGAACCGGAAAAGGAAACGGUCUUAGAUGAAACCGGAAAUGGGGUCCGUGUAGUCAGAGUGGAAGUAGAAGAGGAUGAGGAGAAGACGGUAGAAGUGGAGAUGGAAAUGGAAAUGGGUGAAACCGGAAAUGGUUUCCGUACCAUGAAGCCCGAUCAUUUCAGUGGUAAACUCAAAGUUGGUAAGGAGAGAGGAGCCGCGCCGACAACUACGAAUGGAGGAGUUAAGAAUGAUUUUGAGCUGAGAAACUUGAAAGUCGUGCCCGAAAAAAAAACCGACGGAUUUGGAAGUUGA
rnacentral:lncRNA from 1 species